rnacentral:rRNA from 1 species
CCUACGGGCGGCUGCAGUGGGGAAUAUCGGACAAUGGGGGGAACCCUGAUCCAGCCAUGCCGCGUGUGUGAAGAAGGCCCUCGGGUUGUAAAGCGCUUUCAGUGAGGAAGAACGCCUGGUGGUUAAUACCCAUCAGGAAAGACAUCACUCACAGAAGAAGCACCGGCUAACUCCGUGCCAGCAGCCGCGGUAAUGCGGAGGGUGCGAGCGUUAAUCGGAAUUACUGGGCGUAAAGCGCGCGUAGGUGGCUUGAUAAGCCGGUUGUGAAAGCCCCGGGCUCAACCUGGGAACGGCAUCCGGAACUGUCAAGCUAGAGUGCAGGAGAGGAAGGUAGAAUUCCCGGUGUAGCGGUGAAAUGCGUAGAGAUCGGGAGGAAUACCAGUGGCGAAGGCGGCCUUCUGGACUGACACUGACACUGAGGUGCGAAAGCGUGGGUAGCAAACAGGAUUAGAUACCCCUGUAGUC